rnacentral:rRNA from 1 species
AUUGAACGCUGGCGGCAGGCCUAACACAUGCAAGUCGAACGAGUGGCGGACGGGUGAGUAAUGUCUGGGAAACUGCCCGAUGGAGGGGGAUAACUACUGGAAACGGUAGCUAAUACCGCAUACCAUCUGAUGUGCCCAGAUGGGUUGAGCUAGUGGUUGGGGUAACGGCUCACCUAGGCGACGAUCCCUAGCUGGUCUGAGAGGAUGACCAGCAACACUGGAACUAGUACACGGACCAGACUCCUACGGGAGGCAGCAGUGGGGAAUAUUGCACAAUGGGCGCAAGCCUGAUGCAGCCAUGCCGCGUGUAUGAAGAAGGCCUUCGGGUUGUAAAGUACUUUCAGCGAGGAGGCGUUACUCGCAGAAGAAGCACCGGCUAACUCCGUGCCAGCAGCCGCGGUAAUUC